UACGUAGGUGGCAAGCGUUGUCCGGAUUUAUUGGGUUUAAAGGGUGCGUAGGCGGCCUAUUAAGUCAGUGGUGAAAUAUUUCAGCUCAACUGGAAUUGUGCCAUUGAUACUGAUGGGCUUGAGUACAGAUGAGGUAGGCGGAAUUGACGGUGUAGCGGUGAAAUGCUUAGAUAUCGUCAAGAACACCUAUAGCGAAGGCAGCUUACUAGGCUGUAACUGACGCUGAGGCACGAAAGUGUGGGGAUCAACCAGG
rnacentral:rRNA from 1 species